rnacentral:rRNA from 1 species
CCUGAUGGGUAGUUUAACUCGGGGGGUUGCCUCCUAAAAUGUAACGGAGGCGCUCCAAGGUUCCCUCAGCCUGGUUGGCAAUCAGGUGGCGAGUGUAAGUGCACAAGGGAGCUUGACUGUGAGACAGACAUGUCGAGCAGGGACGAAAGUCGUAACUAGUGAUCUGGCCACGGCAUGUGGAAGCGUGGUCACUCAACGGAUAAAAGGUACCCCGGGGAUAACAGGCUGAUCUUCCCCAAGAGUCCAUAUCGACGGGAUGGUUUGGCACCUCGAUGUCGGCUCGUCGCAUCCUGGGGCUGGAGUCGGUCCCAAGGGUUGGGCUGUUCGCCCAUUAAAGCGGCACGCGAGCUGGGUUUAGAACGUCGUGAGACAGUUCGGUCCCUAUCCGCCGCGCGCGCAGGAAACUUGAGAAAGGCUGUCCCUAGUACGAGAGGACCGGGAUGGACGAACCUCUGGUGUGCCAGUUGUUCUGCCAAGAGCACGGCUGGUUGGCUACGUUCGGAAGUGAUAACCGCUGAAUGCAUCUAAGCGGGAAGCACGUUUCAAGAUGAGGUUUCCCACCCGCUUGACGGGGUAAGG